ACCUGGUUGGCUCAGUUGGUUAGAGCAUUCAACUCUUGAUCUCAGAGCCAUGAGUUCAAACCCCAUGUUGGGUG
rnacentral:tRNA from 1 species